AGAGUUUGAUCCUGGCUCAGGACUAACGCUGGCGGCGUGCCUAACACAUGCAAGUCGAACGAGUCGUUUUUUGAUAGCAAUAUUGGANAACGGCAAGUGGCGAACGGGUGAGUAGUACGUAGGUAAUCUGCCUUCGGGACGGGAACAACCUCGCGAAAGCGAGGCUAAUGCCCGAUAANACCACGGACCGGGAGGUCUGAGGUCAAAGGUGGGGCGAAAGUCUCAUGCCUGAANAUGAGCCUGCGGCCUAUCAGCUAGUUGGUAGGGUAAAAGCCUACCAAGGCGAANACGGGUAGCCGGCCUGAGAGGGUGAACGGCCACACUGGGACUGANACACGGCCCANACUCCUACGGGAGGCAGCAGUGAGGAAUUUUCCGCAAUGGGCGCAAGCCUGACGGAGCGACGCCGCGUGAGGGAUGAAGGCCUUCGGGUUGUAAACCUCUUUUGCAAGGGAAAAAGGUUGUGGUGCUCAUACCAUCACAGCUUGAUGGUACUUUGCGAAUAAGCCCCGGCUAACUACGUGCAGCAGCCGCGGUAAUACGUAGGGGGCGAGCGUUGUCCGGAGUUACUGGGCGUAAAGGGCGUGUAGGCGGUUGGAUAAGUCUGGUGUGAAAUUCCUCGGCUCAACCGGGGAGCUGCGCUGGAAACUGUCUGACUGGAGUUCGGCAGGGGUGACUGGAAUUCCUGGUGUAACGGUGAAAUGUGUANAUAUCAGGAGGAACACCUGUGGCGAAGGCGGGUCACUGGGCCGCAACUGACGCUGAAACNCGAAAGCGUGGGUAGCAAACAGGAUNANAUACCCUGGUAGUCCACGCGGUAAACNAUGA
rnacentral:rRNA from 1 species